rnacentral:rRNA from 1 species
UACGUAGGAUGUAAGCGUUGUCCGGAAUUAUUGGGCGUAAAGAGUUCGUAGGCGGCAAAUCAAGUCUGAUGUUAAAGGCAGUGGCUCAACCACUGUAGGGCAUUGGAUACUGAUUAGCUAGAGUUCAGGAGAGGCAAGGGGAAUUCCUAGUGUAGCGGUGAAAUGCGUAGAUAUUAGGAGGAACACCAGUGGCGUAAGCGCCUUGCUGGACUGAUACUGACGCUGAGGAACGAAAGCUAGGGGAGCAAAUGGG